rnacentral:rRNA from 1 species
GACGAACGCUGGCGGCGUGCCUAAUACAUGCAAGUAGAACGCUGAAGGAGGAGCUUGCUUCUCUGGAUGAGUUGCGAACGGGUGAGUAACGCGUAGGUAACCUGCCUGGUAGCGGGGGAUAACUAUUGGAAACGAUAGCUAAUACCGCAUAAUAGUAGAUGUCGCAUGACAUUUGCUUAAAAGGUGCAAUUGCAUCACUACCAGAUGGACCUGCGUUGUAUUAGCUAGUUGGUGAGGUAACGGCUCACCAAGGCAACGAUACAUAGCCGACCUGAGAGGGUGAUCGGCCACACUGGGACUGAGACACGGCCCAGACUCCUACGGGAGGCAGCAGUAGGGAAUCUUCGGCAAUGGACGGAAGUCUGACCGAGCAACGCCGCGUGAGGGAAGAAGGGUUUCGGAUCGUAAAGCUCUGUUGUAAGAGAAGAACGAGUGUGAGAGUGGAAAGUUCACACUGUGACGGUAGCUUACCAGAAAGGGACGGCUAACUACGUG